rnacentral:rRNA from 1 species
CCUAACACAUGCAAGUCGAACGGUAACAGGAAGAAGCUUGCUUCUUUGCUGACGAGUGGCGGACGGGUGAGUAAUGUCUGGGAAACUGCCUGAUGGAGGGGGAUAACUACUGGAAACGGUAGCUAAUACCGCAUAACGUCGCAAGACCAAAGAGGGGGACCUUCGGGCCUCUUGCCAUCGGAUGUGCCCAGAUGGGAUUAGCUUGUUGGUGGGGUAACGGCCCACCUAGGCGACGAUCCCUAGCUGGUCUGAGAGGAUGACCAGCCACACUGGAACUGAGACACGGUCCAGACUCCUACGGGAGGCAGCAGUGGGGAAUAUUGCACAAUGGGCGCAAGCCUGAUGCAGCCAUGCCGCGUGUAUGAAGAAGGCCUUCGGGUUGUAAAGUACUUUCAGCGGGGAGGAAGGGAGUAAAGUUAAUACCUUUGCUCAUUGACGUUACCCGCAGAAGAAGCACCGGCUAACUCCGUGCCAGCAGCCGCGGUAAUACGGAGGGUGCAAGCGUUAAUCGGAAUUACUGGGCGUAAAGCGCACGCAGGCGGUUUGUUAAGUCAGAUGUGAAAUCCCCGGGCUCAACCUGGGAACUGCAUCUGAUACUGGCAAGCUUG